UACGGAGGGUGCGAGCGUUGUCCGGAAUCAUUGGGCGUAAAGGGCGCGUAGGUGGCCCGGUCAGUUCGUGGUGAAAGCGCGGGGCUCAACCCUGCGUCGGCCAUGAAUACUGCCGCGGCUGGAGCACUGUAGAGGCAGGCGGAAUUCCGGGUGGAGUGGUGAAAUGCGUAGAGAUCCGGAGGAACACCGAAGGCGAAGGCAGUGUCCUGGCGAGUGACUGACGCUGAGGUGCGAAAGCCAGGGGAGCGAACGGG
rnacentral:rRNA from 1 species